UUUUUUUCAAUUUAAGUUCAAAAGUGCAUUUUAGUGUUUAGUGUAGCAACCAUUUCUCUGAACUAUUAUUCAUUAUUGUUUAGUGACCAAAAGAGGCCCGCCUCUAUGUGCGGAAUUUUCUUUCUGCAUAGAGGACUCAUCAUUUUUGAACUCAUCAGGGUUCCUGUACUCAACCGACUUGUUGGGUACUGAGACAUGACUGUGAC
rnacentral:lncRNA from 1 species